rnacentral:rRNA from 1 species
UACGUAGGGUGCGAGCGUUAAUCGGAAUUACUGGGCGUAAAGCGUGCGCAGGCGGUUCUAUAAGACAGAUGUGAAAUCCCCGGGCUCAACCUGGGAACUGCGUUUGUGACUGUAGGACUUGAGUGUGGCAGAGGGGGGUGGAAUUCCACGUGUAGCAGUGAAAUGCGUAGAGAUGUGGAGGAACACCGAUGGCGAAGGCAGCCCCCUGGGUCAACACUGACGCUCAUGCACGAAAGCGUGGGGAGCAAACAGGAUUAGAUACCCUGGUAGUCCACGCCCUAAACGAUGCGAACUAGGUGUUGGGGAAGGAGACUUUCUUAGUACCGCAGCUAACGCGUGAAGUUCGCCGCCUGGGGAGUACGGUCGCAAGAUUA